AGCAGCCGCGGUAAUUCCAGCUCCAAUAGCGUAUAUUAAAGUUGUUGCAGUUAAAAAGCUCGUAGUUGAAUUUCGGGGUUAGUAGGUUGGUCAUGCCUCUGGUAUGUACUGGUCUCACUGAUUCCUCCUUCCUGAUGAACCUUAAUGCCAUUUAUUUGGUGUUUUGGGGAAUCUGGACUGUUAGUUUGAAAAAUUAGAGUGUUUAAAGCAAGCUAACGCUUGAAUACAUUAGCAUGGAAUAAUGAAAUAGGACGUUCGAUCCUAUUUUGUUGGUUUCUAGGAUUGACGUAAUGAUUAAUAGGGAUAGUUGGGGGCAUUAGUAUUCAAUUGUCAGAGGUGAAAUUCUUGGAUUUUAUUGAAGACUAACUACUGCGAAAGCAUUUGCCAAGGAUGUUUUCAUUAAUCAAGAACGAAAGUUAGGGGAUCGAAGACGAUCAGAUACCGUCGUAGUCUUAACCAUAAACUAUGCCGACUAGGGAUCGGAUGAUGUUUAAUUUUUAAUGUACUCA
rnacentral:rRNA from 1 species